rnacentral:rRNA from 1 species
UUCUGGCUCAGGAUGAACGCUAGCGGCAGGCUUAACACAUGCAAGUCGAGGGGCAACGCGAGUAGCAAUACUUGGCGGCGACCGGCGCAAGGGUGCGUAACGCGUGAGCAACAUGCCCGUAUCAGGGGGAUAAUCCAGGGAAACUUGGUCUAAUACCCCAUAGUAAUUUUGUAAGGCAUCUUAUAAGAUUUAAAGCUUUGGUGGAUACGGAUUGGCUCGCGUGACAUUAGCUGGAUGGUAAGGUAACGGCUUACCAUGGCUAUGAUGUCUAGGGGUUCUGAGAGGAAGGUCCCCCACACUGGAACUGAGACACGGUCCAGACUCCUACGGGAGGCAGCAGUGAGGAAUAUUGGACAAUGGAUGGAAAUCUGAUCCAGCCAUGCCGCGUGAAGGAAGAAGGUCCUAUGGAUUGUAAACUUCUUUUGUAUGGGAGCAAUAAGGCCUACGAGUAGGUUGAUGAGAGUACCAUACGAAUAAGCACCGGCUAACUCCGUGCCAGCAGCGGC